GACGAACGCUGGCGGCGUGCUUAACACAUGCAAGUCGAGCGGUAAGGCCCCUUCGGGGGUACACGAGCGGCGAACGGGUGAGUAACACAUGAGCAAUCUGCCCUCCACAUCGGGAUAACCCCCGGAAACGGGAGCCAACACCGGAUACGACCACUUCAGGCCUCUGAUGGUGGUGGAAAGUUCCGGCGGUGGAGGAUGAGCUCGCGGCCUAUCAGCUUGUUGGUGGGGUAACGGCCCACCAAAGCUUCGACGGAUAGCCGGCCUGAGAGGGUGACCGGCUACACUGGGACUGAGACACGGCCCAGACUCCUACGGGAGGCAGCAGUGGGGAAUAUUGGACAAUGGGCGAAAGCCUGAUCCAGCAACGCCGCGUGAGGGAUGACGGCCUUCGGGUUGUAAACCUCUUUCAGCAGGGACGAAGCGCAAGUGACGGUACCUGCAGAAGAAGCACCGGCCAACUACGUGCCAGCAGCCGCGGUAAUAC
rnacentral:rRNA from 1 species